AGGGGACCAAAACUACACACAAUACUCCAGGGAUGGUCUCACAAGGGCUCUGUACAACUGCAGAAGGACCUCUUUGCUCCUAUAUUCGAUUUUUCUUGUUAUAAAGGCCAACAUGCCAUUCGCAUUCUUCACUGCCUGCUGUACCUGCAUGCUUACUUUCAUAGACUGAUGUACAAGAACCCCCAGAUCCCGUUGUACUUCCCCUUUUCCCAACUUGACGCCAUUUAGAUAGUAAUCUGCCUUCCUGUUUUUGCUACCAAAGUGGAUAACCUCACAUUUAUCCACAUUAAACUUCAUCUGCCAUGCAUCUGCCCACUCCCCCAACCUGUCCAAGUCACCCUGCAUUCUCAUAGCAUCCUCCUCACAUAGCAUCAUCCUCAUCAUAGCAAAAGGAUUUGAGUAUGAGAGCAGGGAGGUUCUACUGCAGUUGUUCAGGGUCUUGGUGAGACCACACCUGGAGUAUUGCAUACAGUUUUGGUCUCCUAAUCUGAGGAAAGACAUUCUUGCCAUAGAGGGAGUACAGAGAAGGUUCACCAGACUGAUUCCUGGGAUGGCAGGACUUUCAUAUGAAGAAAGACUGGAUAGACUCAGCUUGUACACGCUAGAAUUUAGAAGAUUGAGGGGGGAUCUUAUAGAAAUUUACAAAAUACUUAAGGGGUUGGACAGGCUAGAUGCAGGAAGAUUAUUCCCGAUGUUGGGGGAAGUCCAGAACUAGGGGUCACAGUUUAAAGAUAAGAGGGAAGUCUUUUAGGACCGAGAUGAGAAAAUCAUUUUUUACACAGAAUGGUGAAUCUGUGGAAUUCUCAGCCACUGAAGGUAGUUGAGGCCAGUUCAUUGGCUAUAUUUAAGAGGGAGUUAGAUGUUGCCCUUGUGGCUAAAGGGAUCAGGGGGUAUGGAGAGAAGGCAGGGAUGGGAUACUGAGUUGGAUGAUAGCCAUGAUCAUAUUGAAUGGCGGUGCAGGCUCGAAGGGCCGAAUGGCCUACUCCUGCACCUAUUUUCUGUGUUUCACACUGCCACCCAGCUUUGCGUCAUCUGCAAAUUUGCUAAUGUUUCUUUGAAUCCCUUCAAAGAAUCCCUUCAAAUGGAAGGCCUUUCAGAAAACUUUGCCUGAGGAGCUGUUUCACUUUAGGAUGCUCCUUAAAACCUACCUCUACAACCAUGCUUUAGGGCAGCUUUUGAAAUCUCUCUCUCUCUCUCUCUGCAGUUUGGUGUCAGAUUUUGUUGGGUAAGGCUUUUGCAAAGCUUGAUGGAACAUUGUGCAGUGCAGUGUUAAAAGUGCGAUAUAAAUGCAGGUUGUUUAGAGUGGGACAACAUUCUAUUAAAUAGCAGGCACGGAAACAAAAGCAGGAGGAGCUCUGUCGGGACCAAGAAAGGAAAACUUUGUAAACUGGAACAAAUGUGGAAAUAUUGAACAGUUUCUAAGCAAACAUUAUGAAUGGUGAGAAGGGCAAAAUUUAAAGGAGAUGUGUGAGGCACGUUUUGUUUUGCACAGAGAAGGGUGGUGAGUAUCUGAAAGAUGCUGCUAGGGGUAGCUGCAGAGGGAGAUAUGAUAGUGGUAUUUAAGAGACUUUUGGAUAGGCAC